rnacentral:tRNA from 1 species
GAGGGUAUAGCUCAAGUGGUAGAGCACAUGCUUAGCAUGCACGAGGUCCUGGGCUCAAUCUCCAGUACCUCCU